GCUGCUAAAGAGGGAAGGAGGAAACUUUGGGAGCCUCUCUAGCUGCAUUAUUUCCAAAGAGCCAGCACAUCGAUCACAUCCACCUCCAGAUUUCUACUUCUGAUGACACAUGGCUGAGAAUAAGGAUGAGUUUCAUUCAGGCAAAGUCAAAUCCAGGUUACCUGUUACACGGAGACCCCUAAACAAGAUCAUCUGUGGGAUGAAGGUGAGAAGGAAAGAUCGCGUGGCUCUGGGACAGCAUGAACUGGCAUCUAGCUUGCUGACAUGGAAAGCAGCCUGAGCAAGUCCACAGUUUGUUGGCAGUAUCCUGAGGUGAAUUGGCUGUGUGGUUAGCACUCUGAACUUCAGAAGGACAAGGGUUUUGAAAUGCAAAGGAGCAAGAGCAGGACUGCCUGUUAUUUUAUCAACAAGGCAGCCUUGUUUCUCUUGUACCUUUGAAAUAAAAGGUGAGCUUUUCAUCAUCCAAGAAAACUUAC